rnacentral:rRNA from 1 species
GAUGAACGCUGGCGGCGUGCCUAAUACAUGCAAGUCGAGCGAACAGACGCGGAGCUUGCUCCUCUGACGUUAGCGGCGGACGGGUGAGUAACGCGUGGAUAACCUACCUAUAAGACUGGGAUAACUUCGGGAAACCGGCGCUAAUACCGGAUAAUAUAUUGAACCGCAUGGUUCAAUAGUGAAAGACGGCUUUGCUGUCACUUAUAGAUGGAUCCGCGCCGCAUUAGCUAGUUGGUAAGGUAACGGCUUACCAAGGCGACGAUGCGUAGCCGACCUGAGAGGGUGAUCGGCCGCACGGGAGCUGGGACACGGUCCAGACGCCUGCGGGAGGCAGCAGUAGGGAAUCGUCCGCAAUGGGCGAAAGCCUGACGGAGCAACGCCGCGUGAGUGAUGAAGGUCUUCGGAUCGUAAAACUCUGUUAUUAGGGAAGAACAAAUGUGUAAGUAACUAUGCACGUCUUGACGGUAACUAAUCAGAAAGCCACGGCUAACUACGUG